GUCGGGUCGGACUUCGUGUAGUGCCUAUCCGUUUCGGAUGUUGGCGACUAUCAUGGCAAUCUGUACUUUGCACACUGCUGCUCUGAAAAGAUUUGUAGUUGUUGCGUUGAACCAAGUACCAAAAUUCAGUUCUUCUGUCUCAUUACAGUAGAAGUAGAAGCUUUAUAAUUUUUAUGGUAGGGGAGCAAAGUAUGCAAAAUGUGCAGUCACUUGAGCGCUUUGGGGACCUAUUGGGUUGUGAAGAGUAGGUCCUAAAACCAAAAAAAAAAGUUAAAUAAAGUUUUGCAUUUAAGUGG